UACAGAGGUCUCAAGCGUUGUUCGGAUUCACUGGGCGUAAAGGGUGCGUAGGUGGUGAGGUAAGUCGGAUGUGAAAGCUCGGAGCUCAACUCCGAAAUGGCAUUGGAAACUACCUUGCUAGAGGGUUGGAGGGGGACUGGAAUGCUUGGUGUAGCAGUGAAAUGCGUAGAUAUCAAGCGGAACACCAGUGGCGAAGGCGAGUCCCUGGACAACUCCUGACACUGAGGCACGAAAGCUAGGGGAGCAAACAGG
rnacentral:rRNA from 1 species